UUCGAAGUAGCUCAGUGGUAGAGCAAUCGGCUGUUAACCGAUUGGUCGUAGGUUCGAGUCCUACCUUCGGAG
rnacentral:tRNA from 1 species